rnacentral:lncRNA from 1 species
UUCUACUAACAUUAAUCCCAUUCUGCCUAACUUAAUUCCCAUUCUCCUAAAAUUAAUCCCAUUCUCCUAAAUUAAUCCACAUCUCCUAACAUGUAAUCCCUUCUCCUGAGAAACAUUAAUCCCAUUCUUCUGAC